CAAUAGAUCACAGUUCGUGUGCAUUAAUGUUUCUAUUUGUCAAUGUUAGACAUUAUGAAGAAAAUAAUCUUCUUGAAGUGGAAAGGAAAGCAUUUUAAGCGUCUCCAUCAUCAGGGUUCAGAGGAGGGGCUCCAGGAUGUCACAAACCCCCCAUUUCCAUCUCAUCCUGCUGUUCAACAGCCAACUUCAACUGAAAGUCUGGAGGAUGUUGUGUUUGUUGAUGAGCAGAUGUGUGCCUGGAAAAAGCCGGAGUAUGUUCAGCCGGUUCCUUAUGAUGAGCACAGGUACAGAGCCCAACAGCAUGGGGGCCAGUACGGGGGCCACUGUAAAAGUGGCCCUACGGUAUUUAAUGAUGUCAGGCAUGGGGCACCAAACAUUGAGGACCAUACAGUCAACACCGUCUUGCAGAAAGCGGAUUAUUACCCCCAACAAAAUCCUGGCCCCUCAACCAUCCCUUCCAUUCCAGCUGUGGUACACCAUGUUGAGCUCCCAACCUUUACCCCCCCACCCAGUAAUGAGGUGAUCGUGACAAAGGAGCCAUACAUUAAAAAGCCCCCCAACGCCUUCAUGCUCUUCCUGAAACAGAACAGGGCAGCUGCGGAGGCAGAGCUGGGC
rnacentral:lncRNA from 1 species